CAUAUCAUAAGCGGAGGAAAGAAACCAACUGGGAUUACCUUAGUAACGGCGAGUGAAGCGGUAAAAGCUCAAAUUUGAAAUCUGGUACUUUCAGUGCCCGAGUUGUAAUUUGUAGAAUUUGUCUUUGAUUAGGUCCUUGUCUAUGUUCCUUGGAACAGGACGUCAUAGAGGGUGAGAAUCCCGUUUGGCGAGGAUACCUUUUCUCUGUAAGACUUUUUCGAAGAGUCGAGUUGUUUGGGAAUGCAGCUCAAAGUGGGUGGUAAAUUCCAUCUAAAGCUAAAUAUUGGCGAGAGACCGAUAGCGAACAAGUACAGUGAUGGAAAGAUGAAAAGAACUUUGAAAAGAGAGUGAAAAAGUACGUGAAAUUGUUGAAAGGGAAGGGCAUUUGAUCAGACAUGGUGUUUUUUGCAUGCACUCGCCUCUCGUGGGCUUGGGCCUCUCAAAAAUUUCACUGGGCCAACAUCAAUUCUGGCAGCAGGAUAAAUCAUUAAGAAUGUAGCUACUUCGGUAGUGUUAUAGCUUUUUGGAAUACUGUUAGCCGGGAUUGAGGACUGCGCUUCGGCAAGGAUGUUGGCAUAAUGGUUAAAUGCCGCCCGUCUUGAACA
rnacentral:rRNA from 1 species